AGUGAACGCUGGCGGUAGGCCUAACACAUGCAAGUCGAACGGCAGCACAGGAGAGCUUGCUCUCUGGGUGGCGAGUGGCGGACGGGUGAAGAAUACAUCGGAAUCUACCUUUUCGUGGGGGAUAACGUAGGGAAACUUACGCUAAUACCGCAUACGACCUACGGGUGAAAGUGGGGGACCGCAAGGCCUCACGCGAUUAGAUGAGCCGAUGUCCGAUUAGCUAGUUGGCGGGGUAAUGGCCCACCAAGGCGACGAUCGGUAGCUGGUCUGAGAGGAUGAUCAGCCACACUGGAACUGAGACACGGUCCAGACUCCUACGGGAGGCAGCAGUGGGGAAUAUUGGACAAUGGGCGCAAGCCUGAUCCAGCCACACCGCGUGGGUGAAGAAGGCCUUCGGGUUGUAAAGCCCUUUUGUUGGGAAAGAAAUCCUGUCGAUUAAUACUCGGUGGGGAUGACGGUACCCAAAGAAUAAGCACCGGCUAACUUCGUGCCAGCCGCCGCUGUAACAC
rnacentral:rRNA from 1 species